GCCGGGGUGGCGGAGUGGUUAUCGCGCUGGCCUCGAAAUCCCAAAAAUAGAUUAAAAACUUUGUUCAUAGACUAGAUAGCCAGUGGGCCUAUGGCUCGCACGGGUUCGAAUCCCUUCCCCGGCG
rnacentral:tRNA from 1 species